rnacentral:rRNA from 1 species
UACGUAGGGUGCGAGCGUUAAUCGGAAUUACUGGGCGUAAAGCGUGCGCAGGCGGUUAUGUAAGACAGAGGUGAAAUCCCCGGGCUCAAACUGGGAACUGCCUUUGUGACUGCAUGACUAGAGUACGGCAGAGGGGGAUGGAAUUCCGCGUGUAGCAGUGAAAUGCGUAGAUAUGCGGAGGAACCCCGAUGGCGAAGGCAAUCCCCUGGGCCUGUACUGGAGCUCAUGCACGAAAGCCUGGGGAGCAAACAGG